GACAGAGGGUGCAAACGUUGUUCGGAAUUACUGGGCGUAAAGCGCGUGUAGGCGGCCCUGCAAGUCGGAUGUGAAAUCCCACGGCUCAACCGUGGAAGUGCAUUCGAAACUGCAGGGCUAGAGUCCUGGAGAGGAAGGUGGAAUGCUUGGUGUAGAGGUGAAAUUCGUAGAUAUCAAGCGGAACACCGGUGGCGAAGGCGGCCUUCUGGACAGUGACAGACGCUGAGACGCGAAAGCGUGGGGAGCAAACAGG
rnacentral:rRNA from 1 species